rnacentral:rRNA from 1 species
UGCCAGCCGCCGCGGUAAUACGGAGGGGGUUAGCGUUGUUCGGAAUUACUGGGCGUAAAGCGCGCGUAGGCGGACUAGUCAGUCAGAGGUGAAAUCCCAGGGCUCAACCCUGGAACUGCCUUUGAUACUGCUAGUCUUGAGUUCGAAAGAGGGAGGUGGAAUUCCUAGUGUAGAGGUGAAAUUCGUAGAUAUUAGGAGGAACACCGGUGGCGAAAGCGGCCUCCUGGUUCGAUACUGACGCUGAGACGCGAAAGCGUGGGGAGCAAACAGGAUUAGAUA